CGGCGGACGGGUGAGUAACACGUGGAUAACCUACCUAUAAGACUGGGAUAACUUCGGGAAACAGGAGCUAAUACCGGAUAAUAUAUUGAACCGCAUGGUUCAAUAGUGAAAGACGGUUUUGCUGUCACUUAUAGAUGGAUCCGCGCCGCAUUAGCUAGUUGGUAAGGUAACGGCUUACCAAGGCAACGAUGCGUAGCCGACCUGAGAGGGUGAUCGGCCACACUGGAACUGAGACACGGUCCAG
rnacentral:rRNA from 1 species